ensembl:lncRNA
UUACAACAAUGACAAAUAACUUUUAUUAUUUUUUUUGUUAGUCAUAGCUGCUCCAACACGUGUAUUUACAAAUAAUGGCCUUCGUAUGAAAUACAUUUGCAAAUCAAUCUGGUGAAGAGAAAACGCACCAGAGGACGAUAGGAUUAGAACAAGAGACAGGUACAGGGGGAAGAACAAGGAAUAGAGGACAUCACUGGUGGGAAGGGGACAGGACAGAGGAUAGAUGAUAGGGGACAAUAGAAAGAAGACAGGGAUAGGAUAGGGGAAAUGUGACAGUAGAUAGAAAUGUGACAGUAGAUAGGGGAUAUGUGACAGUAGAUAGGGGAUAUGUGACAGUAGAUAGGGGAUAUGUGACAGUAGAUAGGGGAUAUGUGACAGUAGAUAGGGGAUAUGUGACAGUGGAUUGGGGAUAGGUGACAGUGGAUUGGGGAUAGGUGACAGUGGAUUGGGGAUAGGUGACAGGAUAGGGAACGUGGAUAGGUGAUGGGGCAGGGCACAGUGAUGUCAGGUUCAGGCUACAUGGCUGCAGUAACAGAUGCCAAAAGGAAAAGCUCCUCUUGACGGAUUCACUGUUCACCCUGUAACAAAACUGCAUCUAACACUGUACGUCAACAAUUUAAUGGGAAAAAGACACAAGUUAACCAAUGUCUGACAUUUUGAUACAGAAAGAAAACCAACACUCAACAGGCUUUACACAAAUAAACAUUCCAUCUCUGAAAUUCGGAUACAACGACAUGCUGCUGGUGACUACUGAAGGUUCCUCUGAAACCAUUGGAGUGAAGACAAUGAUCACAGACAAACUAACCAUGUACACGGACUCAAAACAGCAGUUGUCUAAACCCCAUUAAUAUGCAAAUACUACUAAGUAAAAGUCUGGUCAAAAGAGCAAGGAGAUGGGAGAGUGUCUGGAUCUGGGGAUGGACAUGGAUGGAUGUAGUGUACUUCUAAUAGCAGAGGCCACACGCACAUACACACGCGCACACAAACGCACAUGCAUACACACAAACACACGCACGCGCGCAAACUUCCUAUUUAUCUUUUCCCCUAACAUUUAUCCUAAACCUCAUUCUAAUCCAAACCCAUCAACCUAAAACGUAUACCCUAACCUAACCCCUAAGCUUCGAAUAUACUUUUUUUGCCAUGGGCCCUGCAAAACAUCCCCAUAAGGUUUAAACUUUCUUGUUUUCCUAUCCUUUACUAACAAAACAAGGCCAAUACACACACACACACACACACACACACACAAAACACACAUCCAAACACGCACAUGAAAGUUGAUGUGAGAUGCACAGCAGAUUCUAAAUGACAGGUACAGACUGUAACAUUGAUCAUCAUUUCCCAUACAAAAAUACAUACAAAAUGAAAUCAACAGUUUUUUUUCAUAUCAAACACUGACUUUUUCUUUUACAACAACAUUAACCAUGUGUCUCCAUUUACUGCAGUUGUCCUUGAAAGAUGUGUGAGAACCACGUCUCCAACACUGUACAUUAUACUGUACAUUACAUUAUAUUAGACUAUGGCUGGAUACACAGUAUCCAUGAGACUGGCUGAUACUUCGCACCGUUGGCUGAAGUGAAAGAUGGCGGUGACAACUCACUCAAGCGUCUCUUAUGCAAAGACUUGGUAAAAACCGAAUCCCACACUGACAGCCAACCGAGGAAGUAGCUUCUCACUGCAAUCCAUCGUCUUUACAAAGAGGUGGGUUCGUGUCAGUAUACUAAGUAGACGGUGUAUUAGAGACUGAAGGGACUGAGGGAAAUAUUGACCCUGUGUUCCUGUGUUUGAGAAGCCCAUUACUAUCGAUCUCAGCCGGGCCUCUCUCUCACCUCAUCGCUCAUUCCAGCCCUCUGGUGGUCGAGUUACCUCCGGGGGGAACUGGACACACAGCCAACCUAUCCCCAUGCUGAAUAGGACACCUCUUUCUGUCUCCCUCACUGCUGGUGGUCGAUUUAUUUCAUUCCAGAAAUAACUAGCGCCUGCCCCGGCCAGUGUGGACGCCCCUCCGCACCACAUCAAAGACACGGCUAAAUUGCACCAGAGCCACAGCUGCUGUGGGAAACUGACGUCUGGAAGGGUUAGGAGGAC